GACGAACGCUGGCGGCGUGCUUAACACAUGCAAGUCGAACGGAAAGGCCCUGCUUUUGUGGGGUGCUCGAGUGGCGAACGGGUGAGUAACACGUGAGUAACCUGCCCUUGACUUUGGGAUAACUUCAGGAAACUGGGGCUAAUACCGGAUAGGAGCUCCUGCUGCAUGGUGGGGGUUGGAAAGUUUCGGCGGUUGGGGCUGGACUCGCGGCUUAUCAGCUUGUUGGUGGGGGAGUGGCUUACCAAGGCUUUGACGGGUAGCCGGCCUGGGAGGGUGACCGGCCACAUUGGGACUGAGAUACGGCCCAGACUCCUACGGGAGGCAGCAGUGGGGAAUAUUGCACAAUGGGCGGAAGCCUGAUGCAGCAACGCCGCGUGCGGGAUGACGGCCUUCGGGUUGUAAACCGCUUUCGCCUGUGACGAAGCGUGAGUGACGGUAAUGGGUAAAGAAGCACCGGCUAACUACGUG
rnacentral:rRNA from 1 species